ACGAGCGAUAGAAUUAUGUGUUGUAAUUACAAAGUUGGACGAUGUUAAGCUAUAUGGCAGCCGUUUUAGUCGCCGGGGCAGUAUUUAGUCUUUGCAGUUUGACAAAUGCAUUUUGUGUGGUUAAUAUGUGCCCCUACGUAUUUUGCUGUGUAGUCUCGUGUGUCAUCAAUGGCCAUGGACCCGUUGCAUACUGCGCCAGCAAUAACACCUGCAUUUGCGGUAAACCGUAGGGAAUUGUAAUGGUGGUUAUUUAUUCAAAUAUAUGUUCCUGGCAAGUUU